GGAAGGAAUAAAGCAGAAGAAGGAUGAAGAAGGAAGAGAAGGAAGAAAAAAAUGAUACUUUCCAUAUGAUAAAAGGGAAAAUGUGUAACUGUCAAUAGAAAGUAUGUAAACUCAGAGGGAAGGAUUUUUCUAACUUAUAAGGUGUAAUAGAAAAUGCUACAAGAAUUGUUUAUCACAACAAAUUUCCAACCCUUGAAGCAUCAAGCAUGCUAUUCUAAGAAUAAACACGUCAAUCAUUUGAAAAAUAUAAGUAUUAAUAUUCAUAACUCCAAAUAUGAAGAUAUAAAAAGAUUAAUGUAAAUAUUUUUAGAUGAAAAAUGAGCAUUGUUGCUAUGGUCUAAAUAAGAAUAUUGUUCUGUGCAGACUGUAAUUUAAAUUAAAUCCCAUGAACUUUAUUUUUGUAAGUAAACAGAAUAACUGGAGAAAUGGAAAGUCAUUCAAAGAAGAGUGUCACUGAAAUGUGCUCCCCCAAAAUUCAACUGUUGAAGCCUUAAUUACUAAUAUCACUGUAUUUGGAAACAGGAUCCCUAGGACAUAAAUUCAAAUGAGAUCAUAAGAGUAGGACCCUAAUCUGAUGGGACUAUGGCUUUAUAAAGAGGAAAAGAGGAUAACAGCAAGAAAGUGACCAUGUGCAAGCCAGGGAAAGAGGCCUCACCAGAACCGAACUCCACCAGAAUCUUAAUUCUGGACUUUUCUGCCUCCAGAAUUAUGAGAAAAAGAACUUAAGCCACCAAGUCUAUAGCAUUUUGAAUGGCAGUCAAUUCAGACUAAUACAAAAAGAAAACUGAAUUCAGUUCAAAAAAUAUUUAUGAACUUACAGCAUGCAAGACAUUUUAUGAAAUGCUAAGACACUGAACAUAUAUUAUUCUUCAUUAAAUAAGUAGAAACAUAUAAUUGUGCCUUCUCUUACCAAAUAAAAUAACGGUUGAGAUAAUAGGAACCUAUAUAAACAUAUAUGUAUUUAAGCCCAUAAACGUGUAUAAAUACCUAAAGAUUACAGGCAUGUGUGCAAAUUUGUGCAUGUUUGUGUGUGUAGAAACGGUGUAUUUAUGUGAGAGAGAGAUUGGAUCUCGUGAGGCUGAUGCAAAUACACAUUAAAAAAUACAUCAUCAUUUUAUUAAUACCUCUGGUUAGCAAGAACAUGAUAAUGUUUCAGUAAACAGUAGAUUAAUAGCAAUUGACCUGUCUUCCUGUUUUCCACAGUGAUGCUUCAUAAAGUUCGGGCCUUUUUAAACUGGAGUCCGUAAGUAAGAAGAAUUCAGAUGCAAAAUAUCAGCGCUCCUUAGCAAGAAAAGCACCAGUACCUGAAAGAAUUUGUCCCAUCUUUUGCCUGAUAUUUGCUAACAUGGCAUCCUUAGAGAAAACCAGCCAUUCCUGACACAGUUGGCAAAUUCUUCUGAAGCAAACUUCUGGAUGCCACUCUGAUAAGGUGUUUUCAACUGCAGAUGACAUGAGAGCCUUAUGGAACUGCAAACACAUUUAUUGUUUUUUCUCUUUGGAGAGUCAUGCAUUCCUCAAUACUGCUGUGAAAAUAGGAAUCACUCACACUUCUAAAGCUAUUUCCCACUGUUAAAAAUUAAUUAGAAGAAUAACAUCUCCAACCCAGGUAUUAUCAUCUCCAGUUUAAAAUUGAGGAGGAUGAAGUUCAGUGAUUGUACAUUUCUCAUGUGUUGUGAAAAGCUAUGAGAUGAAACACUUAAAACUUACAUUCUAAUGGAAUUAUAUACAAAAAAUAAAAAGGGUAGCCAAGUAGAGUUGCCAGCGAAGCAGAGAAGAUAUGAGUCUGAAGAUCUGGAAAAAGGUCCAGGCGCAAGACAGGCCUCUCAAGACCCUUACCUGGGAAAUAUUGCAGAAAAAUUGAGUAUUCUAAAAUCAUUUUCUUAGUUUUUGUGAGUGAAGACUCCCAGCAUGGUCUCACAAGGUGACAAUCAUCUCAAGGUAUGACUGAGGAUGUAUCUGCUUCCAAGCUCACCUACAUACUUAUUGGCGGGAUAAUCUCAUACGCUGAGAAAUGCUAUAAUUCAUCAUGUGAACAUACUCUAUGCUAUUUUACAUGGGAAUUGGAGAGUAAAAAAGUCCAUCAAAGAAGUCAGUAGCAAUCUUCUGUAAGGAUAAUUGUAACACUUUAAAACUGCACAAAUUUAUGUGCAGAUGGCAAAAUGGAAAUUUUGUUAGCACUUUCUGAAGAAAGAGUUAAGGAAGAACAAUCUACAUUGUUAAUUUUGGUAUUUAAAUAACAAAAUUCCAAGGAAAGAGCAUUUGCACUGGGAAUAUAAAGAAAAUAAUAAAAGGCCUAUUAUAGAUCUAAAGUCAGCAUCACUUGGAAACUGAUUGAUUGGAUCAAAAUAAGGGACUGCAUGGAGAAUCAGAUUCCAGCUCAGGGAUCCCCGCUAAGGCCCCAGACUUACCAGAGCAGCCACUCUACAUUGUCAACUCAUAAUCAGAUGACCCAGGGAGGAACUGCUCAGAUGACAACACUGGUUACUGAGGCAGCUACUGCUUAUGAGUCUCCGCUCUGAGACACAGAGAGAGAGAGGAGGAGACAUAGGCAGAGGGAGAAGCAGGCUCCUCGCAGGGACCCCGAUGUGGGACUGACUGGAUGCUGGGAUCAGGCCCUGAGCCGAAGGCAGACAGUUGACCACUGAGCCACCUAGGCGUCCCAAUCUUUCUGGAUAUUAUGUGGAGAAUGAGUCUUAUGGUGGCCAAAUUGCAAGUACAGAGAUAAGUUAUGAAAUUCUGACAAUAAUUUGAACAUCUAAUGAUAUUGAAAAUGCCAACUUACAGUAUAGCAAAAACACUGUAAAAUAUUCAAAUUCUUUGAACAUCAAUUCUACUUUCUAUAAAUAUAUGCUAAAUAUAUAAUUAUUAUUGUGCUAUGAGGAACUUUAGAUAUCACUAUAGUUGUAUUUAAAAUAAUGAAUUCUUUAACAAUUUAAAUAUCUAAAAUAGACCUUCAAAUACAUUGCUAUCUAAUAAUGUUUCACACUAAAACUAUGCUUUAAAAUUAUAUAUCAAGACAUAAUGUGUUGUUUACAAUAUCUAAAGACAAACAACUUGUAUGCUUCUAGUUAAAUAUGAUUAAUGCCACCUGUACUUGUACUUAUUUUCUUCCCACCAAAUCCCCCUUAAAAGACAAAAAAGGAAUAAACUAAGAUAUUAACCAAUGAUGUAAGAAGAGUUAGUGAGUUUGAUUACCAGCAAUAAGUUGACAUAAAUAACAAAACACAUUUGCAAGAUUGGGAUAUGCGUGGGUAGACUGAUACCUAAACAUAUGUGAAGACUUGCAAAAAGUUACAUUAAUUAAGUGGUUAAUAUUGGAAUCGAUAGAAGUUGCUCCAAACAUUUAAGGAAACAGUAAGUUAUGGAACUAACACUUCAAUGAACAAGAAAAGUCAGUAGUUUUGUGGCAGUUGGUUAUUCAGCUAGAAAGAAAUGUGAGUUCUUAGUUCACAUUUGACACAAAUAUGCCUUACAGGGACACCUGGGUGGCUCAGCGGUUGAGCAUCUGCCUUUGGCUCAGGUCAUGAUCCUGGGGUCCUGGGAUCGAGUCCUCACAUUGGGCUCCCUGCAGGGAUCCUGCUUCUCCUUCUGCC